ACGAAGGGGGCUAGCGUUGUUCGGAAUCACUGGGCGUAAAGCGCAUGCAGGCGGAUCGAUAGGUCGGGGGUGAAAGCCCGAGGCUCAACCUCGGAACUGCCUUCGAUACUGUCGAUCUUGAGUCCGGGAGAGGUGAGUGGAACUCCGAGUGUAGAGGUGAAAUUCGUAGAUAUUCGGAAGAACACCAGUGGCGAAGGCGGCUCACUGGCCCGGUACUGACGCUGAGAUGCGAAAGCGUGGGGAGCAAACAGUA
rnacentral:rRNA from 1 species